rnacentral:lncRNA from 10 species
UGCAUUCCACAAGUAUUUAUUGAUCUUACUGCAUACCAGGCCCUCAGAUGGGGACACAGCCACGAAUGAAGCAUGGUCCCUGCUACCACAAGGUCCUCUUCACUUACACACACACUGAGGACUACUGCUUCGUCACGCUUUCCGAAGCAGCUGAGUGGGGCUAUGUAAGUGACCUUGCAGAUGAAGUCGCCACCUGCAAGAACUCACAGGUGAGAACAGAGGGUGGCCACCAAAAGGUCACUGAACUCCCCCGAGAAAACUGUUGAGCCACACACAUGUCCAACUUUCCAGGUCCAAGACAUACUGCAGUACUGCUUUGUAAUAGCCACCAGGUGCAAAGCCAGGAAGAACCAGAGGGAAACAGGUUUUUCUCACAUGAGGGAAGAGCAGCCUGCAUCACUUAAUGGUUGGACUGAGUUAAUGCAGGACUUAGGCCUCUUAAAAGGCAACAAUGAGAACCCUUACUUGGACCCACUCCCCACCACGGUUGAUCUCUCAUUAUGCUGAGCAUAUCUCUUGGAAAGGGGCAGGGCGGGCGCGGUGGCUCAUGCCUGUAAUCCCAGCACUUUGGAAGGCCAAGGCAGGCAGCAGAAGAGUUCAGACAGGAAAUUUCUCUCUGUGGCAUAACACAAAUGGAAAGAAAACCACUAGGGGACACACAGGAAGAAAUAAGGUUUCUGUUUCUUCCUCAAGUGUCCCAAGUGCCAUGGC